CUCGAGGCCGCUGCGGGAGAAUUCAGCAAAUGAUGAAACCUCCCACCAUUGGCCAGAAAGGCAGCCAAUCACGAGGAAGGAACGAGAAGGGGGGUGGGGCUGGGGGGGAUGCUGGCUGUCGCCGCAGAAUCCUCGAGCGCCAGGAACGACUCGAGACUUCUAGUGUACGCUGCGCCAGAUAUUUGAUGGCAGGUUGCACCAUGACCCUAUUUCUAUAAAUUUUUAAAAUUAGCCUGGCAUGGCAUAAUACCAGAACUGAAGGGGGAGAGUCCGGAGGAUUCGGAAAGUUGAGGAUAGAUGGAUCUGUGAGAAAUUGUGACACAACCUACUUGCAACUCAAGCACAGGACAGUAAACAGAUGAAAGAAUGUUUCAGUUUUCACCUGCGUGACACCAGACACUGGAACAACACCAACUGGUUCUUCAAUUACGAGCCCCUCAAUUUAACAGAGAGGACCACACUGUCACUGAAAAGCACAAGCUCACCAUCAGUCCUGUCUGGAGGGCAGACGCAGGGAUCUAUCAGUGUGAGGUCUCCAACUCCUUCAGCUCCAGGAGGAGUAACCCACUGCUCUUUGUGGUGGCGAAUGGCUAAUGUCUUUUCUCUUCCUAUACCACAGCGCUGAGAUUUUCAUGUUCCCUAGUGUGCAGAGCGUUUAAAAGUUAUAGGAGAAAGCAGUGCAGACACAGACUGCCAUCAUGGCGACAUAAACCUUCUAUUCCCAAAUAAAACACAAGUCAGGAGGAACAUGAGUACAAGGCCAGUCCAGUUAGACAGUGUUUUAAAAAUAGACUUCAGUAAGGGGCUGGAGAGAUGACUCAGCAGUUAAGAGCACUGGCUGCUCAUCUGGAGGACCUGGGUUCAAAUCCCAGCAGCCAUAUGGCAAGUCGUGCCUGUCUGUAACUCCAAGAUGUGACAUAUAGACAAACCACCAAUGCACAUAAAAUAAAUAAAAAUAAAAGAAAUCCCCACUCCACCCUUAAAAAAAAAAAAAAAAGGACUAGGUAUAGGAACAGAAUUGCAAAGAAGUAAAGUAUGCCUCAGGUUCUGAAUCCCAUAUGAACUCAGGCCUCAGAAUCCCAGAGGGAACUGCCAGGUGCCUCACACUCUCUAAAAGCUGUGACAGCUCAGAGUCCCUGUUAAAAUGCUGCAGAGUUUGCAUAGAGUAAACACAGCUUUUCUCAUGCUCAGACGGUUCCUGAUGACCAACACCCAUGCUGCUUAGACCCCAGUCAUCCAUGUGAAGUUGGGAUACUGACAGGGCAUCAGACUGCGUGUGUUUUACACUGUCUAUAGUUCCUGAUCUGUAGAUUGUUUGCUGCAUAGAGAGAAAAUCCAUGGACAUAAAGGCUCCAUGUACUGA
rnacentral:lncRNA from 1 species